rnacentral:rRNA from 1 species
UACGUAGGUGGCGAGCGUUGUCCGGAUUUACUGGGCGUAAAGAGCGCGCAGGCGGUCGUACAAGUCGCGUGUGAAAGCCCCCGGCUCAACUGGGGAGGGUCACACGAUACUGUUCGACUCGAAGGCAGGAGAGGGUAGUGGAAUUCCCGGUGUAGUGGUGAAAUGCGUAGAUAUCGGGAGGAACACCAGUGGCGAAGGCGACUACCUGGCCUGUUCUUGACGCUGAGGCGCGAAAGCUAGGGUAGCAAACGGGG